GAUGAACGCUGGCAGCGUGCUUAACACAUGCAAGUCGAACGAUGAAAGCUGGAGCUUGCUCCGGCUGGAUUAGUGGCGAACGGGUGAGUAACACGUGAGCAAUCUGCCCUUGACUCUGGGAUAACUCCGAGAAAUCGGUGCUAAUACCGGAUAUGACCCUUGGCGGCAUCGCUGGGGGUGGAAAGUUUUUCGGUCAAGGAUGAGCUCGCGGCCUAUCAGCUUGUUGGUGGGGUAAUGGCUCACCAAGGCGACGACGGGUAGCCGGCCUGAGCGGGUGACCGCCCAAAUUGGGACUGAGACACGGCCCAAACUCCUACGGGAGGCAGCAGUGGGGAAUAUUGGCCAAUGGGCGCAAGCCUGAUCCAGCCAUGCCGCGUGAGUGAUGAAGGCCUUAGGGUUGUAAAGCUCUUUCGUCCGGGACGAUAAUGACGGUACCGGAAGAAGAAGCCCCGGCUAACUUCGUGCCAGCAGCCGCGGUAA
rnacentral:rRNA from 1 species